UCUGGGAGCUUUGCGAGUAGGUUUUUGGUCAAGCUUUGUUUGUAUUUGCAGAUGCUUCCACAUCCAGUACCGUGUCGCCUCGUUCCAUGGAGGGUCGUGACUAGUUCUGUCACGACAUAGCUGUGCAUCGGUGCCGGAUGGACGCCGACAUAUGGGAGCAAAGGCCCCUGUACAAAGGAAAAGAAGAUCUUGGGAGCGGCUGUCAAAGUUGAGUACAUAAGAAUGGCCAUAGCGGGUCAGACCAAAGGUCCAUCAAGCCCAGUAUCCUGUCCUCUGACAGCGGCCAAUGGCAGGUGCUCCAAAGGGAAUGAACGGACAGGUUAUCAUCAAGCGAUCCAUCCCGUCACCCGAUCGCAGCUUCCGGGAAACAGAGGCUAGCGACACCAUCGCUGCCCAUCCUGGCGAAAUAAGUAUCUGCCGAAGGGUUUGAUGGUCAGAAGUAUUUGUGCCAUUGAAGCUUCUUGUUUAGGAGCAGGAGUCCUCUAAACCCUGCCCAUUCUUAAUGGGCGCAUGAGGGGUGGGCAGGAGAUCGUUGCACGGAGGGAGCAUGCGUUUCCACCGAGGGAAGGUCGAUCUCUGGCAGAGUGACCUUUCCGUAACUAGAGAUGCUCCGUUCUCAGUUCUUCUCUCCUAUGCAGCACUGGGUUUACAUCACAGGUCACCGCUUCCACCUUGGGUUCUCCUCUACAUGGUGGUGGUUUUCUGAGGAGGAUGUGAGCAUCCUAGUUAGCGAUGGGUCCCAAUGUGGUGGGACACGUGGAGGGCCACCAGUAUGUGAAUGAGAGUGUUUAGGGUUGGGGGGUGCUUCUUUGAGGGGGGUGUAAUGUUUAGUAGGCAUUCCUUCUCUUAAGGAAGCAGUAUGCAGGUGAGGUCAUGUUUCAUAUUGUGUAGUCGGGUGCUUUGUGAGUCGGUUCGCAGUCCAGCUUUGUUCGUCUUUGCAGAUGCGUCCAGAUCUGGUGCCAUGUUGUUCCGUGGAUGGUCGUGACUACUUCUCUGUGACCGUGUCACGACAUUGCCGUACAGCUGUCAAUGUAUGGGAGCGAAGGCCUGUGUACAAAGGACAAGAAGAUCUUGAGAGCGGGAGCAGCUGUCAAAGUUAAGUCUCUGCCGAAGGGUUUGAUAGUCAGAAGUAUUUGUGCCGUUGAGGCUUCUUGUUUAGGGACAGAAGUCCUGCAAACUCUGCUAGUUCUUAACCGGUGUGGGAGGGAGCUCAUUGUACGGAGGGAGCGUGUGUUCUCUGUGGAGGAAGGUCGAUUGCUGGCAGAGUGACCUGUCUGUAACUAGAAAUGCUCCGUUCUCUGUUCUUCUCUCUUACACAGCACUGGGUUUGCAUCACUGGUCACCACUGCCUUGUUUGUCUGUCCUCUACUGGGUGGUGGUUUCCUCAGGAGGAUGUGAGCAUUGUAGUUAGCGAUGGCCACAGUCAGGGUGGGAAAAGGCCAUGAGUAUCGUGUAAUUUUUGAGUAUGUUGCGUCUUCAUUUUAACUGUAUAGAAGUAGUUGGUUGCUCCUUCAUUGUGGGUAUGAAUGUGUCAGGGCUUUUUUGGGGUGUUGAAUAGGUCAGUUUAGCAAUGGGAAUGUGGUAUUGCGCCGUUGCGGCAUUUAGCAAUAAUGUGGCAUUUAUCGUUUGCGUGCCACAGGGGGAUUGGAGUCCAGAACCGAGGGAAUAGGCUGGGGCAAGCGCAGCCCGUUUGGUCUACGUGGUGCCAGCGGGAGCAGAGGAGCUGGUUGCGUCCAUGAGGUACUUAAGAGGCUUCAGGAGGUGCGGUUUGGAAAAGAAUGUCGUGCAAGUGUCUAAGGAUAAUGAGCUGAUGAUGAAAACGUGAUGAAAUGAAGAGUAGAUAAUGUGGGUGCAUCCGGGGACAUGGAAAUGUGACAGUCCUGUGUGGCGGUAGAGGAAAUCGUUGUUUGGUCGAGGUUCUGUGCAAAGACGGGGUCCAAUUUGGCAAAGAACCAGUGAAGUUGAAGUAUGACUGUGGGGGGCAUGAAGUACUUGUUUCCCAAAAUGGAAGUUGGAGUCAAUGUCAGGUUUGCAAGUUAAGUAUGGUUAUUGAUCAUGGUAUUUUUGUUGGUCUGUUCUAUGUUGAAGAUGGGAAAUGUGUUUCACUGGGUGCAUGUCAAUGGGAAUUUCAUGUGCUUUUGUUGUGUGUGUUUUAGAAUCUGAGAUGUUUAGGAUUUGUUCUACAGCAGUUGAAUGUGUGAUCCUGUUUUUGAUCCUCAUAGGAAGCUAUUUCCGUCCGUGUGGUCUGAAGGUAUCGGUGUUACUGGAGAAGACCCUCGUUUGGAAGAAUUGGGGUUUGAACGUAUAUUUUUUGGGUUGCGAUGUGAAGUGUCCUCUGUUCGAUGGCUAGAAUGUAGUAGAGCAGUGGGGCUGGUGUCACUGUGUUCUGCUAUCUAACAGAUGUUACGAAUUACAUCUGGUAGGACACGCACACAUGUGCUACGAAUUACAGCUGGUAGGACACGCACACAUGUGCUAACUUUUC